GAUGAAGAACGUAGCGAAAUGCGAUAAGUAAUGUGAAUUGCAGAAUUCAGUGAACCAUCGAAUCUUUGAACGCACAUUGCGCCCGGCAGUAAUCUGCCGGGCAUGCCUGUCCGAGCGUCAUUUCUACCCUCGAGCGAGUCCAGCAUCUAGGUGCUGGGCCUCGCCCGGCGUUGGAGCACUACGGGAAGCCCUGUGCUGUCCCCCGUAGGCCCCGAAAUGAAGUGGCGGUCCUGCCGCGGCGCCCCCUGCGUAGUAUAACAGCUCGCUUCGGGACCCGGUGGAGGCCUGCCGUCAAACCUAUACUCUCUAAGUUUGACCUCGGAUCAGGUAGGGUUUCCCGCUGAACUUAAGCAUAUCAAUAAGCGGAGGA
rnacentral:misc_RNA from 1 species